rnacentral:rRNA from 1 species
GACGAACGCUGGCGGCGCGCCUAACACAUGCAAGUCGAGCGGAGAUACUUGAAGGAAGUUUUCGGACGGAAUUUGGGUAUUUUAGCGGCGGACGGGUGAGUAACGCGUGAGUGACCUGCCUUCCACAGGGGGAUAACGUACCGAAAGGUACACUAAUACCGCAUGAGACCACAGCACUGCCUGGUGCAGGGGUCAAAGGAGCAAUCCGGUGGAAGAUGGACUCGCGUCCGAUUAGAUAGUUGGUGGGGUAACGGCCUACCAAGUCAGCGAUCGGUAGCCGACCUGAGAGGGUGAUCGGCCACAUUGGAACUGAGAGACGGUCCAAACUCCUACGGGAGGCAGCAGUGGGGAAUAUUGGGCAAUGGGGGAAACCCUGACCCAGCGACGCCGCGUGAGGGAAGAAGGUUUUCGGAUUGUAAACCUCUGUUCUUGGUGAAGAGGGAAAGACGGUAGCCAAGGAGGAAGCCCCGGCUAACUACGUGCCAGCAGCCGCCGUAAUAC